rnacentral:tRNA from 1 species
CGGUGUGAAGCUCAAUUGGCUGAGCAGCUGACUCUUAAUCAGUAGGGUGUGGGUUCGAGUCCCAUCACACCGACCA